UAACCUGCCCAAGAGAUCGGGAUAACACCUGGAAACAGAUGCUAAUACCGGAUAAUAACAGAUGAUGCCUAUCAACUGUUUAAAAGAUGGUUCUGCUAUCACUCUUGGAUGGACCUGCGGUGCAUUAGCUAGUUGGUAGGGUAACGGCCUACCAAGGCGAUGAUGCAUAGCCGAGUUGAGAGACUGAUCGGCCACAUUGGGACUGAGACACGGCCCAAACUCCUACGGGAGGCAGCAGU
rnacentral:rRNA from 1 species